rnacentral:lncRNA from 1 species
AUAAUUUUAUGUGAUUUUAAGAGAUUAACUAAUUCUUUGAGAGUGUUUAUAUAAUUAUGGUUUGCUAGGCCUCUUUGGUUUGGAGUGCUACCUAUAGUAAACGUGAGUUUACAAGGCUUCAAUUUUCUCAUAUUGCUCAUUGAAGUUUUGAAAUCGUAUCAAUUUAUAAUUUUUGCCUAUGUAGCUGUGAUUGUAUGGUCUUUCGUUAAAGGGUGGUGCUACCCGCACACCAAUUUUUACGUCUCACACUCCUCUCAAUUUCCGGCCAUGAAUCGAAUGAAUUGAAGAAGAUUAAUGGACAAAAAUUAACAAUGAUAAAUAAGAGGUAAAAAUGAGUGUGUGCAUAGCACUACCCUUGUUAAAUUGAUGACGUGAUAAAUAUGUGACCAUUUUUUAAUUGAUGUGGAAGUCACUUACACUGACGAACAAAAAGGCAUCAUGAAGGUGUAAGUGCAAGUGUGACUUCCACAUCUACUAGAGUCAAAUAAAUGAAAGAGUAAAAAAGGUCGUACCCAGUGCACAAGGCUCCCGCUUUACGCAAGGUCUGGGAGAGGUGAAUGUCGGCUAGCCUUACCCCCAUUUAUGGAGAGGCUGCUCCCAAGUCUCGAACCCGAGACCUACCGCUCAUGGGCGAAGGCACUUGCCAUCGCACCAAGUGCGACCUCUAAAUAAAUGAAAGAGUAACUUGAUAAAAAUUUAAAACCUCGAUACAAAGCCAGGUUAAGCUUCCUUCACUUUUUUAUUAUCCCUAAACCAGAAUCUCCCAUGACUAAUUAUUACUAGGUUCAGAUUCAGCUACAAAUUAGGGCAAUCCUAUUUUCCUUACCUGUUCCUCCACCAUUGACUCUCUCACAUACAAAACACCAACAGAAAUUGAAGUAUCAACAAACUUCAUAAACCUCCAUGUCCAUCAGCUCCUUCCAUUUCAUAUAAAUUCAUAUCAUCCCUACCAACAACCUACUGCAUUUUUAUACUCUAAACGGGUGAGUUCAAGGGAAGCGAAAAGAUGACAGUUAAGGCCAUUCAAUGGCUCCUCCUUGCCCAUCUCCUAGUGCACAUUCUAUGGUGUGUGCGAAAGUUCCAGCAAUCAUUGUGUUUGGAGACUCUACUGUGGAUACAGGGAACAACAACCAGAUAUCAACAGUUUUAAAGAUAAGACUUUGAACACUACGGUCGCGAUUUCUAUGGAGGCUGGCCUACUGGCCGGUUUUCCAACGGACUUCAUUUCUGAAGCUUUUAUGAUCAAGCCAACCAUGCCUG